rnacentral:rRNA from 1 species
GUAGGGCGGGACACGUGGUAUCCUGUCUGAAUAUGGGGGGACCAUCCUCCAAGGCUAAAUACUCCUGACUGACCGAUAGUGAACCAGUACCGUGAGGGAAAGGCGAAAAGAACCCCGGCGAGGGGAGUGAAAAAGAACCUGAAACCGUGUACGUACAAGCAGUGGGAGCCUCUUUAUGGGGUGACUGCGUACCUUUUGUAUAAUGGGUCAGCGACUUAUAUUCUGUAGCAAGGUUAACCGAAUAGGGGAGCCGAAGGGAAACCGAGUCUUAACUGGGCGUUAAGUUGCAGGGUAUAGACCCGAAACCCGGUGAUCUAGCCAUGGGCAGGUUGAAGGUUGGGUAACACUAACUGGAGGACCGAACCGACUAAUGUUGAAAAAUUAGCGGAUGACUUGUGGCUGGGGGUGAAAGGCCAAUCAAACCGGGAGAUAGCUGGUUCUCCCCGAAAGCUAUUUAGGUAGCGCCUCGUGAAUUCAUCUCCGGGGGUAGAGCACUGUUUCGGCAAGGGGGUCAUCCCGACUUACCAACCCGAUGCAAACUGCGAAUACCGGAGAAUGUUAUCACGGGAGACACACGGCGGGUGCUAACGUCCGUCGUGAAGAGGGAAACAACCCAGACCGCCAGCUAAGGUCCCAAAGUCAUGGUUAAGUGGGAAACGAUGUGGGAAGGCCCAGACAGCCAGGAUGUUGGCUUAGAAGCAGCCAUCAUUUAAAGAAAGCGUAAUAGCUCACUGGUCGAGUCGGCCUGCGCGGAAGAUGUAACGGGGCUAAACCAUGCACCGAAGCUGCGGCAGCGACACUAUGUGUUGUUGGGUAGGGGAGCGUUCUGUAAGCCUGUGAAGGUGGCCUGUGAGGGUUGCUGGAGGUAUCAGAAGUGCGAAUGCUGACAUAAGUAACGAUAAAGCGGGUGAAAAGCCCGCUCGCCGGAAGACCAAGGGUUCCUGUCCAACGUUAAUCGGGGCAGGGUGAGUCGACCCCUAAGGCGAGGCCGAAAGGCGUAGUCGAUGGGAAACAGGUUAAUAUUCCUGUACUUGGUGUUACUGCGAAGGGGGGACGGAGAAGGCUAUGUUGGCCGGGCGACGGUUGUCCCGGUUUAAGCGUGUAGGCUGGUUUUCCAGGCAAAUCCGGAAAACCAAGGCUGAGGCGUGAUGACGAGGCACUACGGUGCUGAAGCGACAAAUGCCCUGCUUCCAGGAAAAGCCUCUAAGCAUCAGGUAACAUCAAAUCGUACCCCAAACCGACACAGGUGGUCAGGUAGAGAAUACCAAGGCGCUUGAGAGAACUCGGGUGAAGGAACUAGGCAAAAUGGUGCCGUAACUUCGGGAGAAGGCACGCUGAUAUGUAGGUGAAGCGACUUGCUCGUGGAGCUGAAAUCAGUCGAAGAUACCAGCUGGCUGCAACUGUUUAUUAAAAACACAGCACUGUGCAAACACGAAAGUGGACGUAUACGGUGUGACGCCUGCCCGGUGCCGGAAGGUUAAUUGAUGGGGUUAGCGGUAACGCGAAGCUCUUGAUCGAAGCCCCGGUAAACGGCGGCCGUAACUAUAACGGUCCUAAGGUAGCGAAAUUCCUUGUCGGGUAAGUUCCGACCUGCACGAAUGGCGUAAUGAUGGCCAGGCUGUCUCCACCCGAGACUCAGUGAAAUUGAACUCGCUGUGAAGAUGCAGUGUACCCGCGGCAAGACGGAAAGACCCCGUGAACCUUUACUAUAGCUUGACACUGAACAUUGAGCCUUGAUGUGUAGGAUAGGUGGGAGGCUUUGAAGUGUGGACGCCAGUCUGCAUGGAGCCGACCUUGAAAUACCACCCUUUAAUGUUUGAUGUUCUAACGUUGGCCCGUAAUCCGGGUUGCGGACAGUGUCUGGUGGGUAGUUUGACUGGGGCGGUCUCCUCCUAAAGAGUAACGGAGGAGCACGAAGGUUGGCUAAUCCUGGUCGGACAUCAGGAGGUUAGUGCAAUGGCAUAAGCCAGCUUGACUGCGAGCGUGACGGCGCGAGCAGGUGCGAAAGCAGGUCAUAGUGAUCCGGUGGUUCUGAAUGGAAGGGCCAUCGCUCAACGGAUAAAAGGUACUCCGGGGAUAACAGGCUGAUACCGCCCAAGAGUUCAUAUCGACGGCGGUGUUUGGCACCUCGAUGUCGGCUCAUCACAUCCUGGGGCUGAAGUAGGUCCCAAGGGUAUGGCUGUUCGCCAUUUAAAGUGGUACGCGAGCUGGGUUUAGAACGUCGUGA